UCCCUAUCUGUCGCGGGCGCAGGAAAUUUGAGAGGAGCUGUCCUUAGUACGAGAGGACCGGGAUGGACGUACCGCUGGUGUACCAGUUGUCUCGCCAGAGGCACGGCUGGAUAGCCAAGUACGGCAGGGAUAAGCGCUGAAAGCAUCUAAGCGUGAAGCCCCCCUCAAGAUGAGAUUUCCCAGUAAGUAAGACCCCUUGUAGACGACGAGGUAGAUAGGUUCGGGGUGGAAGCGCGGCAACGUGUGGAGCUGACGAAUACUAAUCGGUCGAGGGCUUAUCCU
rnacentral:rRNA from 1 species